GACUCUUGACAACGGAUAUCUCGGCUCUUGUCAUGAUGAAGAACGUAGUGAAAUGCGAUACUUUGUGUGAAUUACAGAAUCCUAUGAAUCAUCGAGUUUUUGAAUGCAAUUUGCGCCCGAGGCCUCGGUCAAGGGCAUGUCUUUCUAGGCAUCG
rnacentral:rRNA from 1 species